GUUGAUGUUUAUCCUGAUGGGGUUUUUUCUGUAGAUCUGUGUCACUGGAAACACUUCAGAGAGUAUAUUUGUAGUUUCCUUUACUCACAGAACUGUGUGGUAGAUCUGUGGGGAAGAACGACAAGACAGGU